rnacentral:rRNA from 1 species
AUAAGGAGCUUGCUCCUUUGACGUUAGCGGCGGACGGGUGAGUAACACGUGGGUAACCUACCUAUAAGACUGGGAUAACUUCGGGAAACCGGAGCUAAUACCGGAUAACAUUUGGAACCGCAUGGUUCUAAAGUGAAAGAUGGUUUUGCUAUCACUUAUAGAUGGACCCGCGCCGUAUUAGCUAGUUGGUAAGGUAACGGCUUACCAAGGCGACGAUACGUAGCCGACCUGAGAGGGUGAUCGGCCACACUGGAACUGAGACACGGUCCAGACUCCUACGGGAGGCAGCAGUAGGGAAUCUUCCGCAAUGGGCGAAAGCCUGACGGAGCAACGCCGCGUGAGUGAUGAAGGGUUUCGGCUCGUAAAACUCUGUUAUUAGGGAAGAACAAAUGUGUAAGUAACUGUGCACGUCUUGACGGUACCUAAUCAGAAAGCCACGGCUAACUACGUGCCAGCAGCCGCGGUAAUACGUAGGUGGCAAGCGUUAUCCGGAAUUAUUGGGCGUAAAGCGCGCGUAGGCGGUUUCUUAAGUCUGAUGUGAAAGCCCACGGCUCAACCGUGGAGGGUCAUUGGAAACUGGGAAACUUGAGUGCAGAAGAGGAAAGUGGAAUUCCAUGUGUAGCGGUGAAAUGCGCAGAGAUAUGGAGGAACACCAGUGGCGAAGGCGACUUUCUGGUCUGUAACUGACGCUGAUGUGCGAAAGCGUGGGGAUCAAACAGGAUUAGAUACCCUGGUAGUCCACGCCGUAAACGAUGAGUGCUAAGUGUUAGGGGGUUUCCGCCCCUUAGUGCUGCAGCUAACGCAUUAAGCACUCCGCCUGGGGAGUACGACCGCAAGG